GACAGAGGCCUCGAGCGUUAGGCGGAAUCACUGGGCUUAAAGCGUGUGUAGGCGGGCCCGUAAGUGUCUUGUGAAAUCCCACGGCUCAACCGUGGAACUGCUGGGCAUACUGCGGGUCUUGGGCCAACUAGGGGCAGCCGGAACAAGCGGUGGAGCGGUGAAAUGCGUAGAUAUCGCUUGGAACGCCAACGGUGAAAACAGGUUGCUGGGGUUGUGCCGACGCUGAGACACGAAAGCCAGGGGAGCGAACGGG
rnacentral:rRNA from 1 species